CAUCAGUGCGCAUUGAGGAUCUAAAGUGCAGGCUCUGUUCUAGGUUCCGGGUGUGAAUGGGGAUGAAGAGGAGAGAAGAGCUUCCUGACCUCCAGGGCAGCACAUUCCCGGGGGGGUGAAAGAGACAGUAAACAAGCUUCCUCCUCCUUCCUCCCUGCCUGACACGCCCAGACUCCACGGUGGGUGUUUCGAGGACCUGGGUGCCCCAACAGUUUCAACUCUUUCUCUGGUUCCAAGGGGUGAAGAGGCCCGGCUUGCAGCUGGUCACCAGUGGGCAGGUGCAGAGGCAAAAGAAGAGCUGAGCCAGCUGGAGCUGGGUUUGAGUCCUGGCCCCGUCGCCUCCCAGCUGUGGCCACAGGAAGGUCCUGGAGGAGCACUCAAGCCCUGACUCCCUCCCCCGAAGGCCCGUGAGGGGUGGGCAGCCCUCGGGACAUCCAGGUGGCAGCACGUGAGCGAGGCCUGGGGCAGACCCAGGUCAGGGAGGGGACAAGUGCCUUCCUCAGGGCCCAAGUGACAAGUCCACCUCCUCUCUCAGUGGGCAGAAGGGCUGAGCAGCUGCCCGGGCCAGGCCAGAAGAGGGGCAGCCGGAGCCCAGAGUCCCCUGAGUGGGGCAGGGGGGCUGAGAAUGGGGCCCGGAGGCCUCAGCUGCAGCCCAGAGGGUGGGGCAGGGACAGGACAGGUUCCCAGAGGCAGUGGGAGUGGCAGGGGCAGGAGUCGGGGAUGGGGUGUAGCUGUGUGCAGGGACCCCUGUCCAUCCCCCCAGUCCAGGAGCCUGAUGGGUUUGGGGGCACCACCUAACAGUGGUCCUUGUGACCAUUGCUUUCACCCCUGCUUGUCCUUGACCUUCCUGCUGGAGGCUUAGUGCUUCUGUAUUUAAAUUCAUCCGUUUUCUCCUUUCUGGCUUCGGGGCUUUGAAGCUUGCUCACGGAAGUCUUCUCUCCCCAAGACCAUGGAAAUCUUCCCUCCGAGUGGUUACGGGCCUCCUCUCUAGGCUCCGCUCCUCUCCGUUCUGUCCAUUGACCGUUUUUGUUUGUUCCUGGCCCAAUACCUGCGGUCAUUAUAUGUGUACUUAUUGUUCUUCACAGCCCUAGACCAGAAGCUCCGUGGGGACAGGGACUCUUGUCUGCUCUGUGCCAUGCUAUCACCCCAGCGCUUAGCAGGUGCCUGGCGCGUGGGAGGUACGCACUGCCUCCAUGUCGAAUGUGGCACCAGGAUGUGGGCCCAGAACUCCCAGACCCGAGACCGAGGGGUGCGUAGCAGAGAAAAGGUCCACCUCAUCUGUCCCACCCCUGCUCCCUCCCCGGAUGAUUCCCUCCCGUCCAGGAGCCUCUGCUCCACGUGGACAGCCCCCUGCUGCCUGGAAUCCCUUCUCUGCGCAGCCCACACACUCCCCGAGCUCUCCACUGCUCUCUCCUUCCUGAUGAGGGGCGGCUGGAAGAAUGCUGACAGAAUCCAUCCAAGGAAAUCUUGUCGGACGCCUGCGGCGCUUCGAGCUGGAUGUAAGGACGGGGGUGAUAGGAGGUCGACAUGCGCCACUCUGCCCCCAUCACUCCAUGCAGCCCACUGAGGGCCUCGGCAGGGGCGGGUGCCUGCUGGCCAGGAUGCUGGCUGGACACGCGCCUGAAAAGACACAGUUGUAUUCCUCACGACUCACGUGUAGUUGGCCCCGAAACGAUUGCUCAUGAGCUCAGUCGUAUCUAAGUAGUCAUUAAUUUCCAUUAGAGUUGCUGGAGAGAGCGGCAGGGCUUCUAUUAAGGGAUAAGUUUCCAGCCUCAAGCUGCUAAUCAAUAGAACGAGUGCGUCAUUACACACCGCAGAGCUCCGUGAGCUCGUUCGUCACGCCAAUAAAACGACGCGGCCCUGACGCAGCGUCGGAGUCAGGGGCUGGCCCUCUGGUCUGCGGCUGUGCAAGCUGGGGCCGAUAGCAGGAAGCCCGGAGCACGUUUGCUGAGCGUGCAGAGCAGUGGGGUUGAGGGUCGUGGGGGUGCUGCUGGGAGGCGGCCCACGGGACUCGGGGACUGAUCGGAUGUGGGUUUGAGGGGGAGAAAGGCGUCAAGGACGACUCACAAAUGUCUGGCCUGCACAUCUGGGGACAGAUGGACAACGAUGGCUGUCACAAAUCGAAGCCAGAGGACAGGGCUGGCCACACCGCAGAGAGCCAGAGAUCAGAUCUGCUGGAUGGCUUUGUGCAAAUGCUGUCACCUCUCUGAGCCUCCGUGUUCUCAUCUGUCAGAAAGGAUUCAGAAUCUCUGCCUCGACAGCACCUCUGCGAGUGAGAGCAUGCAUUGAAAAGUUCAUAACACCGUCAACUUAAGAUGCAUGCUUUUAAUAAAUUCUGACUUAAAUU